UAAGUCGGGUGUGAAAGCACUCAGAUUAACGGAGGAAGUGCAGUGGAUACUGGCAGGCUUGAGUGUGAGAGAGGAGCGUGGAAUUCCUGGUGUAGCGGUGAAAUGCGUAGAUAUCAGGAGGAACACCGGUGGCGAAGGCGGCGAUCUGGAUCAUAACUGACGCUGAGGCGCGAAAGCGUGGGUAGCAAACAG
rnacentral:rRNA from 1 species